CGUAGGUGGCAAGCGUUGUCCGGAAUUAUUGGGCGUAAAGCGCGCGCAGGCGGGAUAUCAAGUCUGUCUUAAAAGUUCGGGGCUCAACCCCGUGAUGGGAUGGAAACUGGUAUUCUUGAGUGUCGGAGAGGAAAGUGGAAUUCCCAGUGUAGCGGUGAAAUGCGUAGAUAUUGGGAGGAACACCAGUGGCGAAGGCGACUUUCUGGACGAUGUCUGACGCUGAGGCGCGAAAGCCAGGGAAGUGAACGGGAUUAGAUACCCCGGUAAUCCUGGCCGUAAACGAUGGGUACUAGGUGUAGAGGGUAUCGACCCCUUCUGUGCCGGAGUUAACGCAAUAAGUACCCCGCCUGGGGAGUACGGCCGCAAGGUUG
rnacentral:rRNA from 1 species